rnacentral:piRNA from 1 species
UCAGCAGUUAAGAAUGUUCAUUCUUGCAGA